ACUUUGGCAACAUUUUGGUGGAACUCCAGGCAUGUUUGAAAGCAACAGCAACAGUGUUUUUUUCUUCAGUGAACUAGAAUUUAAUUUCUGCACUUUCAAAAGAAGACUGUGAUGCGAUCCAUAGCAAGAGAAUUAAGAAAUGUAGGGAAAAUCUUAACCACUGCCGGGUCUGGAUUUCCAAGGACACAGCUGGUCUUUCUCACCGUCUCAUGUGGAGGCCUAAGGUGCCUGAAUUGAGCUCCGCAGAAAAGAAAGGAACAAACAGCAGCCUCCCAUCGCCCUGUGAAUACACCGGUGGCUUGGGAAGAGAGGGAGGUCACUGAAGGAGUGGAGCUUGCCCUUGUGGCUGCAGUGGCCAUGAGCCCGGAAGGUGGUGGUGGCUGGGGGCCGCCAUGCCGAGGCCAGGCCCAGUGGCCACGCUGCGGGGUCAGGGCCGGCGACCUGUGGACCAGGCCGUCCUUCACUGCUCCCAGCCUCGCUCGCUUUCAAGAUGCACGCCGCUCUUCUUUCAUCUCUUGGAUUCAAAUCCACCAUAAUAAAUAAAAUUCUUCCUGUCUGAAAGAUA